AGCCUGUGAUGAAUUUCUUUAAUUUCUGACACCUCGUAUGAAAACUGCUUGUGCGGUCUGAUUACAUUACGAGACUGAGGCUU
ensembl:snoRNA